AUAUGGAUUGGACUAGAUAACAAGGUCUUUUCCAACUUGAAAAUUAUUUGAUUUAUCAACUAUUUUUGGCAUGUGUUUUAGAAUCAAAAAAUUAUGUACUUAAAUAUCAACAAACAAAUAUUCUAAUAUAUACAAAGAACAAAAAUGUAUUAAAUAUGAAACUGAAAUUUUACAUACAAAUUGUAUUUUAAAAAGUAUAUAUAUAUGUUAAAUUGAAAGAGCAUUAUCAGAACUAUCCUUUUUUAAUUGUUCUUGUGUUUUUUUUCCUUCUAGGUCUUUUCAUUAAAAAAUAAAGGAAUCCUUGAUAUUUUGUAUAAUUUCUUUAAAUUUCUGAGGCCCUCUCUUCUUGUCCACUUAAUGAGCCAUUUAUAACAAUAAAAAAUAAAAAGAAAGAGGAAGGAAAAAAAGAAUCAGUGAAAUUAACUGAACAUUUACGAAGUCUCACAUUAUAUGCUGUGAUCACAUUCACAGUUUUCUAUAUCUGAAGGAAAUUAUCAAAUGGACUCAAGUCAAGCAAGAAAGUUGGCCUCCAGUGAUGUGCCCAAAAGAGAUUUGUGCUGUUUAACAUUUAAAUUAGUGACUUGGAUAAAGAUAGAAAUGACACAGAGAUGAAAAAAAAAGCUAUCAUAUUAGAUAUUAGUCAAGAUUAAGAAGAAAAGAUUAGAACAUUGGGUCAAAUAGAAGAUGACAUCUAAUGGAAAUAAAUGAAGUCUUAACUCUUGGAUUAAAAUUUUCAAUUAUAAAAGUAUAAGUUGUAAGACACAUGGCUAGAAAGCAGUUCAUCUGAAAAAGAUAUAGGGGUUCUGGUGGAAAACAAGCUCAAUAUGACUGCAAGCUCGUUAUACAAUAUGACAAUCAAGAAGCUUAAAUUACAUUGAGUCAGGGCAUCCAAGACCAGGAGAUAACAGUACACUGUACUUUGCCUUGGAUCAUUAUUAUUUUCAGUUCUGAAUGCCAUGUUUUAUGAAGAACAAUAAUAUGAUGGAGAGCUGUCAUUCAGAGAAGGGCAACCAACAUGAUUGAAAACUGCAAGUGUUCUGAAUCCAAUUCUUCCUGUGCAACAAGAGAACUUCGGUUAUGCACACACAUAUUGUAUCUAGGAUAUACUGUAACAUAUUUAACAUGUAUAGGACUGCUUGCCAUCUGGGGGGGGGGGGUAAAGGGAGGGAGGGAUAAAGUCGGAACAGAAGUGAGUGCAAGGGAUAAUGUAAAGAAAAUUUUUUCAAAAUUAAAAAAAAAAACAGCAAGUGUGCGAAUCAUUUGAAGGAAUGGGGGAUAACUUGGAGAAGAAAAGAGUUAAGGAGGAUGAUAUCAUUAUGACCUGUCUUGAAAUAUUGGAAAGAUUGUCAUAUGGAAGAGGGAAUAAAAAGACUUGCUUGGUUUAGUCCCAACAGGCUCAACAAGGAAUGAUGAAUAGAAUGGGCACAGAAGCAAAUUGAAGCCUGAGAGCAGAAAGUACAAUUCCCAAUAAUUAAAACUAUCCCAAAGCAAAAUAGGUUGCUUCAGGAGGCAGAGGAUUUUUCCCUCAGUGGAUUUUUUUGGGGGGAGGGGCAAAAGAUGUAUGACUUACUGUUAUAAAAGGGAAGUGAUAGAAAGAAUUCUUGUUCAGAUGGACUCUGAAGUUCUUCCUAAAGCUGAGAAUCUAUGAUUAAGUGAAACAAUUUGUUACUUGAAUAAGAAAAAAAAAAAUAAGGUGGUGUUGUACUUAGCAGAUCUCUGAGGUUCUUUCCAGCUCUAGAAUUCCAUGAUUUUAUGAUUUCUGUGGAGGAGUGAACCUCAUGACUUGCCAACAGGACUUACAUGAAUGUUGGAGUUUUGCUGUCUUAAGCAAAUCCUAUACUAAUUUGUCCCCCCCCCCCCUUUUUUUUUUUUUAAAGUUUUUGGAAGUGAGCCCACUUGGCUAGAGGCUUUGUCUAAUUCUAGGUUAUAUGUAAAGCAGAGUAGGUUGGUGUCUGACUAGGGCAUAAUUGUGCACUAUAUUUUUACUUUACAUCCUGAAGUUAGCUUUUUUUGUCAGGUGAUUAUAGAAUCUAUUUUGUUGUUCAGUUUUGCCUGACUCUUUGUGACCCUGUUUGGAGUUUUCUUGGCAAAGAUAUUGGAGUGGUUUGCCAUUUCCUUCUCCAGCUCAUUUGACAGAUAAGGAAACUGAGGAAAACAGGGUUAAGUGACUUGUCUAGGGUAACACUGCUAGUGUUUGAUAGUAAAUUAAUAAUUAAAAUAAAUAUGGGAGAACUUAUGUGGCUUAAAUAUUGCUCCUUUUUGUAUACAAAAUUAUAUAUUAAAGAUUUGAGCAAAUUA